rnacentral:rRNA from 1 species
ACGGGUGAGUAAUGCCUAGGAAUCUGCCUGGUAGUGGGGGAUAACGUCCGGAAACGGGCGCUAAUACCGCAUACGUCCUGGGGGAGAAAGUGGGGGAUCUUCGGACCUCACGCUAUCAGAUGAGCCUAGGUCGGAUUAGCUAGUUGGUGGGGUAAAGGCCUACCAAGGCGACGAUCCGUAACUGGUCUGAGAGGAUGAUCAGUCACACUGGAACUGAGACACGGUCCAGACUCCUACGGGAGGCAGCAGUGGGGAAUAUUGGACAAUGGGCGAAAGCCUGAUCCAGCCAUGCCGCGUGUGUGAAGAAGGUCUUCGGAUUGUAAAGCACUUUAAGUUGGGAGGAAGGGCAGUAAGUUAAUACCUUGCUGUUUUGACGUUACCAACAGAAUAAGCACCGGCUAACUUCGUGCCAGCAGCCGCGGUAAUACGAAGGGUGCAAGCGUUAAUCGGAAUUACUGGGCGUAAAGCGCGCGUAGGUGGUUCAGCAAGUUGGAUGUGAAAUCCCCGGGCUCAACCUGGGAACUGCAUCCAAAACUACUGAGCUAGAGUACGGUAGAGGGUGGUGGAAUUUCCUGUGUAGCGGUGAAAUGCGUAGAUAUAGGAAGGAACACCAGUGGCGAAGGCGACCACCUGGACUGAUACUGACACUGAGGUGCGAAAGCGUGGGGAGCAAACAGGAUUAGAUANCCUGGUAGUCCACGCCGUAAACGAUGUCGACUAGCC